rnacentral:rRNA from 1 species
AGUGAACGCUGGCGGUAGGCCUAACACAUGCAAGUCGAACGGCAGCACAGUAAGAGCUUGCUCUUACGGGAGGCGAGUGGCGGACUGGUGAGGAAUACAUCGGAAUCUACUUUUUCGUGGGGGAUAACGUAGGGAAACUUACGCUAAUACCGCAUACGACCUACGGGUGAAAGCAGGGGAUCUUCGGACCUUGCGCGAUUGAAUGAGCCGAUGUCGGAUUAGCUAGUUGGCGGGGUAAAGGCCCACCAAGGCGACGAUCCGUAGCUGGUCUGAGAGGAUGAUCAGCCACACUGGAACUGAGACACGGUCCAGACUCCUACGGGAGGCAGCAGUGGGGAAUAUUGGACAAUGGGCGCAAGCCUGAUCCAGCCAUACCGCGUGGGUGAAGAAGGCCUUCGGGUUGUAAAGCCCUUUUGUUGGGAAAGAAAAGCAGCAGGUUAAUACCCCGCUGUUCUGACGGUACCCAAAGAAUAAGCACCGGCUAACUUCGUG